GACAGAGGGGGCAAGCGUUGCUCGGAAUCACUGGGCGUAAAGGGCGCGUAGGCGGGAUGGCAAGUCGGUCGUGAAAUCCCUGGGCUCAACUCAGGGGGGUCGGCCGAUACUGCCGUUCUUGAGGGAUGCAGAGGAGACUGGAAUUCCCGGUGUAGCGGUGAAAUGUGUAGAGAUCGGGAGGAACACCGGUGGCGAAGGCGGCUCACUGGCCCGGUACUGACGCUGAGGUGCGAAAGCGUGGGGAGCAAACAGG
rnacentral:rRNA from 1 species